CGCGCAGGCGGCCUGGGAAGUCUUGGGUGAAAGCCCCCAGCUCAACUGGGGAAUGGCCUGAGAAACCACUAGGCUGGAGUGCUGGAGAGGGAAGCGGAAUUCCCGGUGGAGCGGUGAAAUGCGUAGAUAUCGGGAGGAACACCAGAGGCGAAGGCGGCUUCCUGGACAGACACUGACGCUGAGGCGCGAAAGCUAGGGGAGCAAACGG
rnacentral:rRNA from 1 species